GAUGAACGCUGGCGGCGUGCCUAAUACAUGCAAGUCGAGCGCACGGACGAGAAGCUUGCUUUUCUGAUGUUAGCGGCUGACGGGUGAGUAAUUCGUGGAUAACCUUCCUAUAAGACUGGGAUUACUUCGGGAAACCGGAGCUAAUACCGGAUAAUAUUUUGAACCGCAUGGUUCAAAUGUGAAUGACGGUCUUGCUGUCUCUUAUAGAUGGAUCCGCGCUGCAUUUGCUAGUUGGUAAGGUAACGGCUUACCAAGGCAACGAUGCAUAUCCGACCUGAGAGGGAGAGAGGCAAAACUGGAACGGAGACACGGUCAAGAAGCCUAGGGGAGGCAGAAGAAGGGAAUCUUCCGGAAUGGGCGAAAGGGGGACGGAGAAACGCCGCGUGAGAGAUGAAGGUAGUCGGAUCGUAAAACUGUGUAAGGAGGGAAGAACAUAAGGGUAAGUAAGUGGGCAAAACAAGACGGGAACUAAUCAAAAAGGCACGGCUAACUACGGG
rnacentral:rRNA from 1 species